GAUGAAGAACGUAGCGAAAUGCGAUAAGUAAUGUGAAUUGCAGAAUUCAGUGAAUCAUCGAGUCUUUGAACGCACAUUGCGCCCCCUGGUAUUCCGGGGGGCAUGCCUGUCCGAGCGUCAUUGCUGCCCUCAAGCACGGCUUGUGUGUUGGGCCCCCGUCCCCGGUUUCCCCCGGGGACGGGCCCGAAAGGCAGCGGCGGCACCGCGUCCGGUCCUCGAGCAUAUGGGGCUUUGUCACCCGCUCUGUAGGCCCGGCCGGCGCCAGCCGACACCCAACUUUAUUUCUAAGGUUGACCUCGGAUCAGGUAGGGAUACCCGCUGAACUUAAGCAUAUCAAUAAGCGGAGGA
rnacentral:misc_RNA from 1 species